CCUANGGGAGGCUGCAGUAAGGGAUAUUGCACAAUGGGGGAAACCUUGAUGCAGCAACGCCGCGUGCGCGAAGAAGGCCUUCGGGUCGUAAAGCGCUUUUCUGAGGGAAGAGGAAGGACAGUACCUCAGGAAUAAGUCUCGGCUAACUACGUGCCAGCAGCCGCGGUAAGACGUAGGAGGCGAGCGUUAUCCGGAUUUACUGGGCGUAAAGGGCAAGUAGGCGGCAGCGAAAGUUGUGCGUAAAAUCUCCCGGCUCAACUGGGAGGGUGCGUGCAAAACUAGGCUGCUAGAGGGCAGAAGAGGGGGGCAGAAUUCCUGGUGUAGCGGUGGAAUGCUCAGAUACCAGGAGGAAUACCAGUGGCGAAAGCGGCCCCCUGGUCUGAACCUGACGCUGAGAGGCGAAAGCUAGGGGAGCGAACGGGCUUAGAUACCCUGNUANUC
rnacentral:rRNA from 1 species